UUCGCAAUGCCCGAAAGGGUGACGAAGCGACGCCGCGUGUGGGAAGAAGGCCUUCGGGUUGUAAACCACUGUCGGGAGUUAAGAAAUGCAAGGAUAUGAAUAGUGUCGUUGCUUGACUAAGGCUCCGGAGGAAGCCACGGCUAACUCUGUGCCAGCAGCCGCGGUAAUACAGAGGCGGCAAGCGUUGUUCGGAAUUAUUGGGCGUAAAGAGCACGUAGGCGGCUAUGUAAGUCGGUUGUGAAAGCCUUCCGCUCAACGGGAGAACAGCAUCCGAUACUACAUGGCUUGAGUGCGGGAGGGGAGAGUGGAACUUCUGGUGGAGCGGUGAAAUGCGUAGAUAUCAGAAGGAACGCCGGCGGCGAAAGCGGCUCUCUGGCCCAUAACUGACGCUGAGUGUGCGAAAGCUAGGGGAGCAAACGGGAUUAGAUACCCCGGUAGUCCUAGCCGUAAACGAUGGGCACUAAGUAGAGGGGUUUU
rnacentral:rRNA from 1 species